AGCUCCAAUAGCGUAUAUUAAAGUUGCUGCAGUUAAAAAGCUCGUAGUUGGAUUUGUGGCGCGGCCGUCCGGCGGGGCUCCUUCAUUGGGGCCGUUUGUCUGGUUUUUCGGCCGCUCCAUUCUCGGGUAGUGUGUCGCUGGCAUUAGGUUGUCGGCUUCUUCACGCCCGUCGUUUACUGUGAAAAAAUUAGAGUGUUCAAAGCAGGCUUAGGCCGUUGGAUAUAUUAGCAUGGAAUAAUGAGAUAAGGCCGCGGUGGUCUUUUCUGUUGGUUUGCCACACGCCGCAAUGGUAAAAAGGAACAGUUGGGGGUAUUCGUAUUCAACUGUCAGAGGUGAAAUUCUUGGAUUUGUGGAAGACGAACUACUGCGAAAGCAUUUACCAAGGAUGUUUUCAUUAAUC
rnacentral:rRNA from 1 species